UCUCGUACGCCGUGGUCCACAGGGGCUC
rnacentral:piRNA from 1 species